rnacentral:lncRNA from 1 species
GGGGGGGAGAUGGGUGGGAGUUGGGGGAGGGGGGAGGGAUGGAGUGGGCGGGGAGGGGCGGGGACGGUGUGAGCCCGAGGCUGGGAGCUAGCGUCUGGGGACGCUAGCAGGUCCGGCUGCCUCCAGGCUCCGGAGUUCCUGGGGAGAAAGUUACGCUGGAAAUGUGACUCUGCCGGGGGUGGGGUCAGUCCCUGGGCUCCGGGAGGUUUUCCGGGGGCGGGCAAGGGUGCUGCUCUCGGGAUCCCCUUCCUGCUUGGCUCCUCCUCCUCCUCCUCCCCUUCCUUGAGACGACCAUUUUGGGGAGGGGGAUCUGGAAGCCGGCUCGGGCUGCGUUUCCACGGGAGUCGAGAGCAGCUGCCUCCCCGCACCCCUCUCGUAUCGCAACGGGCGCUUGGGCUGCGCCACCUGCCGUGUAGACCCGUCGAGAAGCCAGUGCGGGUGAAAUGCUCGGACCUCCGCAGAGAGCAGUUUUAAGAGGCCAGAUUGAGGAGUUCCCGCAGUGGCUCAGCGGAACUGACCCGACUAGUAUCCAUGAGGUUGCGGCUUCGAUCCCUGGCCUCGCUCAGUGGGUGAAGGAUCUGGCGUUGCCCUGAGCCGUGGAGUAGGUCGCAGAUGCAUCUCGGAUCCUGCCUUGCUGUGGCUGUGGUGUAGGCCGGCAACUGUAGCUCCGAUUCGCCCCCUAGCCUGGGAACCUCCAUAUGUGCAAGUUCGGCCCUAAAAAGCAAAAAACAAGGGGUGGGGGGCAAGUUGAAGGGAAAGUGACCGAGUCGUCAGGAUGAAAGCCCCUUGAUCUGAAUAAGUUGCACGGUUUGUCUUUCGUGGUCUCUCGGGAAGGCUGGUUCCCCAGGAGCUCCAGGCACAGAUGGGGGUGUGUUUCAUCUGCCACAUGUGGCAGUUUUCCUGCCACCUGCCCACCGAGCUGGCCCAGAAUCAUGCCUUCUGACUCUUUUUCC